rnacentral:tRNA from 1 species
GGGCCUAUAGCUCAACUGGUAGAGCAACGGACUUUUAAUCCGUGGGUUCGGGGUUCGAGUCCCCGUGGGCCUACAA